UACGUAGGCAGCAAGCGUUGUUCGGAGUUACUGGGCGUAAAGGGUGUGUAGGCGGUUCUUUAAGUUUGGGGUGAAAUCUCCCGGCUCAACCGGGAGGGUGCGCCGAAUACUGAGGAGCUAGAGUGCGGGAGAGGAAAGUGGAAUUCCUGGUGUAGCGGUGAAAUGCGUAGAUAUCAGGAGGAACACCGGUGGUGUAGACGGCUUUCUGGACCGUAACUGACGCUGAGACACGAAAGCGUGGGUAGCAAACAGG
rnacentral:rRNA from 1 species